CUCACGACUCGCCAAUAGCUUCCGAUCUCUUGACAAUCGUCAGAAAUGGCCCCUUCGGUAUGUUAUAACAAAGUGUGCGAACAACUUAGAGGUGUGAAUAAUGAGAGGUAAUGUCCCUUCUUAAAAACGGAAAAAAAAAAUUCGCGCGUACAAACGCGGCGAAGUAAGUAGGAAAUAAAGCAACUACGAUAAAGAAACGCACCGAGUUGUUUCUGCUUAAAGAACAGGCAUUUAGUUUUUAUACGAUUUCGCUGCUAUAAAAUUUGGCAUUUCUUUUAAAUAUGAAUCUCGGUUUGAGGGUUAAGUUAAAAAAAAAUACCUUAAUACGAAAUAUGUUGCAGAGAAUGAAACAGUUUUGUUUACUUAACGGUUCUUUGUACAGUAUUUAAUUGUCAGAAGAAUGAAACUUGGAAAGUAUUCGCUCGCACUCUCAAGAAUCUAGGUACAGUGGAAAUAGAUAAAUGAAAUUAAUUGCAUAAAAAGAAAUUAAGUAUCACGAAAAGAAAUAUUGAAAUAUAUUUAAAUAUCUGAAAGUUGCCGUAAUCAACAACAAAACUUUUCUGUCUUGAAUGGAAAAUCUUUCCACACAAUAAUUGUUUCUAAUGCUGAUAGAAAUCCAUUCUUUUCUUCAAAGCUUAAAACUUCUUACUCAUUACGAAAUUUCACAAAUUGUUCGCCAAAACUAAGGAGACUGUAGUACAAAUAAGAACAAACUGAUAUUACCAGAUCAUGCCUGCCUUCUACAUAGUAAACAAUAUUUCUAUAUUAAAUCAUUUCAACGAACAAAUUCUCCAUUACUAAAUUAAAAAAAAAAACUCUGGGGACUGACCCAGUCACUCUAAAAUGCCAUACAUCUUAAGAGGAUGCUCUCUUCAAAACGGCCGCCAACUAGGCAGCAGAGACUCAAUGCUAAGUUCUAAUACGCUAUUAGUGCAUGUUAUAUACUGUUACAACAAGAAAGGAGGAUAAUGUAAUACGAUUUGGUAGCACAAAAAAAUUACCGCGGUACAAACCACUUAUA